AUGGGGAUAAGUAAAUAGAGAACUCCUCAGGAGAAAUUAGCGUGAGAUAUCCACAAGAAGUAGUUGAGAGCUCCUGAUUCCCCUGCUGACCCUUCCAUCAGCCCCCUUGCUGGAGGAGUGGCCUUGCUGUUGAGUUCAUCCCUUUUUCCCCAGCACAAUGUCUGGUAUCAAGUACAGGCUCAACAAACACAGGUCGAAUUAAUGAAUAAAUAACUAGUGCAAUGGCUCUCACUCCCUUUUCAGCUCUGAACCAUUCUUGAAGCUACUCUCCCUGCCAACACUGUGGGGGCAACAAAGACUCACCAGUGCCAUGGUGGCCUUGGAGGCAGCUACCAGAGGGCAAGAGGCUGGGCUUAAAAAAAAAAAACAGCACGUGGACAGAAAGAACCCAAUGUCCAUCCCCAGUAAUACAUAACAAGCACUAGCCACGUAUUUCCCGAGUGCAUGGGAGGCAGCGGCCACUUCCUGGGUCUGCAGUGAAGAGCACAGACAGGCAGAGGAAGUGGUGAAAGAGGAUGCUCCAGUUAGAACCAGAACCCUGAGCACCUAAUGACCGAGAGGUUGAACAACCUGCGAUUGGUAAUUUACACCCUGAUGAAGGGAGUGAAGGUGGUGGAACGCCUCAAUGGUGAGACAAGAGAAUCCAGACAGGACAUGAAGGGACAUGUGCCCUGGGACGAAGACCACCCUGACGGCACGCAAGCCAAUACUUCACGGGGGCACCUACUGUACAGCUCGUCGUUCACGGCCGGAGUUGGACUCUUUCUCGGGACGCAUCCUUCCGCCCAUCAAGCACCUUAUAUGUAGUACACUUAGCUAUUUUCUCAGAAAAAAAAAUAAUCGGCUGAGAAGGAGUUCUGUUUCCAUUGUUCCAAUAAUUUUCAGAAAAGCUGUGAAUGUUACAAAUGGAAUGGUAGCUAUAUAGAAAAGAGCAAGCGAACCAGACCAGAAGAGAGAGAAUGGAGAGAGAACACAGCAUAAGCUUCUUGGAGCGCGGAUUGGGGAUGUUUCAGGCUUGGCUGCCUGGCGGUUCCAUCUGUGUUGCUCUACUCCCAUCUACUGAUAAAAGGCUGCUACUUCUCCAGGAGCGCUCCUCGACGCCCUCUCCAGUGUGGACCACUACUGCAGGAGAAUCUGGAGCUGUUGGAAGUCACUUGGCCUUGGAGAUUAUCUGCCCGUGUGUCUGUUCUGAGGGUAAUUACCAGUACCCUAGUUUACUGACUGCUCUUUAA
rnacentral:lncRNA from 1 species